UACAGAGGUCUCAAGCGUUGUUCGGAUUCAUUGGGCGUAAAGGGUGUGUAGGUGGCGCGCUAAGUCGGGUGUGAAAUUUCGGAGCUUAACUCCGAAACUGCAUUCGAUACUGGCGUGCUUGAGGACUGGAGAGGAGACUGGAAUUUACGGUGUAGCGGUGAAAUGCGUAGAUAUCGUAAGGAAGACCAGUGGCGAAGGCGGGUCUCUGGACAGUUCCUGACGCUGAGGCACGAAGGCCAGGGGGAGCAAAACGGG
rnacentral:rRNA from 1 species